AUUUGUUUUCAGUCUAAACCCAGUUGGUUCCAAAAUUUGGAAGUUUGUGGAAUUUUACUAUUUUAGUUGAUAGCUGCUAGAGAGAGAAGAGGAAAAAAAGCUUACCCCUGCACUUGGCGCUUUCAGGCAAGGAUAACUUUAGCCGGAGAUUUGAAGGCGAGGAGGAGAGAGGCGGGCAUGUGGCCACUAUAUAUUGAACAAGUAACUGGCUGCAGGUGAGGAGGUUAGAUUCCAGGACAGGAACCCUCUUUAAGAAGGAGGUUGCUGGAUCCUCUGGGACCCCCAGUAUAUAUUUGUAUAUUCUAGUUGUGAGUGCUUCUGGUUGUGCUAUGUGGGACGCCGCCUCAGCAUGGCCUGAUGAGCGGUGCCAUGUCCACGCCCAGGAUCCGAACCAGCGAAAACCUGGGCUGCCCAAGUUGAGCAUAUGAACCUAACCUUGCAGCCACGGGGCCAGCCCCCAGGCAAAUUUGAAACUGCUUCCCGAGAUAAAUACCCAGAAGUGGAAUUGCUGGAUCGGAUGGUAGUCCUAUUUUUAAUUUUUUGAGGAAGCUCCAUACUGUUUUCCAUAAUGGCUGCACCAAUUUACAAUCCCACCAACAGUGCUCCAGGGUUCCUUUUUUUCCACAUCCUCACCAACACUGAUUGUUUCUCAUCUUUUUGAUAAGAGCCAUUCUAACAGGACUGAAGUGAUAUCUCAUUAUCAUUUUGAUUUGCGUUUCCCUGAUGAUUAGUGAUGUUGAGCAUCUUUUCAUGUACCUGUUGGCCAUCUCUAUGUCUUCUUUGGAAAAAUGUCUAUUCAGAUCCUCUGCUCACUUUGUUUAAAUAGAAUUGUGUUUUUGCUAUUGAGUUGUAUGAGUUUCUUAUAUAUUUUGGCUAUUAAACCCUUAUCAGAUAUAUGAGUUGCAUAUAUUUUAUCCCAUUCAGUAGGUUGCCUUUUCAUUUUGUUGAUGGUUUCCUUUGCUGUGCAGAAGUUUUUUAAUUUGAUGUAGUCCCA
rnacentral:lncRNA from 1 species